rnacentral:misc_RNA from 1 species
GAUGAAGAACGUAGUGAACGUGCGAAACGUAAUGUGAAUUGCAGAAUUCAGUGAAUCAUCGAAUCUUUGAACGCAUCUUGCGCUCCUUGGUAUUCCGAGGAGCAUGCCUGUUUGAGUGUCGUGAAUACUCUCAACUUCAACCCUUUUUUCGGAAAGGGAGGAAGGUUGGACUUGGGUGUUUGUUGAAGUGCGAGCUUCGACUCAUCCUAAAUGCAUUAGCGAUCUGCCUCGAUCACACACAAUGUGAUAAUUAAAACUAAAGCAUUGUUUAAUGAUCAAGUCGAGACUGCUUCUUACUGUCGCAAGACAAUAACGUGCAUACAUUUGUGCAUGUCAUUUGACCUCAAAUCAGGUAGGACUACCCGCUGAACUUAAGCAUAUCAAUAAGCGGAGGA